UACGAAGGGGGCUAGCGUUGUUCGGAAUUACUGGGCGUAAAGCGCACGUAGGCGGCUUUGUAAGUUAGAGGUGAAAGCCCAGGGCUUAACCCUGGAAUUGCCUUUAAGACUGCAUCGCUAGAAUCGUGGAGAGGUGAGUGGAAUUCCGAGUGUAGAGGUGAAAUUCGUAGAUAUUCGGAAGAACACCAGUGGCGAAGGCGGCUCACUGGCCCGGUACUGACGCUGAGG
rnacentral:rRNA from 1 species